UGGGGGAUAUUGCACAAUGGAGGAAACUCUGGUGCAGCAACGCCGCGUGAAGGAUGAAGGUCUUCGGAUUGUAAACUUUUGUACUUGGGGACGAUAAUGACGGUACCCAAGCAGCAAGCUCCGGCUAACUACGUGCCAGCAGCCGCGGUAAUACGUAGGGAGCAAGCGUUGUCCGGAUUUACUGGGUGUAAAGGGUGCGUAGGCGGCUAUGCAAGUCAGUUGUGAAAACUAUGGGCUCAACCCAUAGCCUGCAAUUGAAACUGCGUGGCUUGAGUGAAGUAGAGGUAGGUGGAAUUCCCGGUGUAGCGGUGAAAUGCGUAGAGAUCGGGAGGAACACCAGUGGCGAAGGCGACCUACUGGGCUUUAACUGACGCUGAGGCACGAAAGCAUGGGUAGCAAACAGGAUUAGAUACCCUGGUAGUCCAUGCCGUAAAACG
rnacentral:rRNA from 1 species